AGGGACUGAUCUUUUAUACCGACAGGAAAUACCCAGGAGGAAGUUGCAAAGAAGACAGCGGGAUAAGAAAGUUUGCAAACACUUGGAGAGGAGAAUAAAAAGGCUGUCACGUUUUGCCCUUUCUGUGGCCAAGAUCUGGGGAAAGUUCAAGUGUUCUGUCAUGCAUGUGGCAAAAAUGUACAGUUCUUGGCACAAGAUGAAGACAACAGGUCAGCAUUGGACAGUCCUACUGAAGAGGAUCUGAUCAGAAAGUACUUCCAUGAUGGCUACAGCAAUGAAGAAAUUUUGGAUUUCCUGGCAACAUUUCACAAUGUUAAAAUGAGCCUUCGUUGUCUAAAGCUUAAAUUGAGACGUUUUUCAUUGUCCAGGCAAAAAAAAAUGACUCCCCUCUUGAUACUAUAUGUGCUGCCAUUGAAGAAGAGCUGAAGGUAACAGGCCAGCAUUAUGGUUACCAUAUGAUGUGGCAGACACUGCACCAGAAGUACUGUCUAACAGUGAGAAGGGAUGAUGUCAUGGCUUUGAUGGGAGAGCUUGAUCCCUUAGGAGUACAACUUCGUGCAAGAAAAAGAUUUGUAAAAAGAGUUUACAGCUUCCUUGGUCCAAACCAUGUCUGGCACAUUGAUGGUUAUGACAAAUUAAAGCCCUAUGGUUUGGCAAUUAGUGGCUGUAUAGAUGGAUACUCUCGCAAAGUUCUGUGGUUGGUGUGUGGAGCAACAAACAAUGAUCCUGGAGUCGUUGCUCAACACUAUCUGCAAUAUGUUU